rnacentral:rRNA from 1 species
GAUGAACGCUGGCGGCGUGCCUAAUACAUGCAAGUCGAACGCUUCACUUCGGUGAAGAGUGGCGAACGGGUGAGUAAUACAUAAGUAACCUGGCAUCUACAGGGGGAUAACUGAUGGAAACGUCAGCUAAGACCGCAUAGGUGUAGAGAUCGCAUGAACUCUAUAUGAAAAGUGCUACGGGACUGGUAGAUGAUGGACUUAUGGCGCAUUAGCUUGUUGGUAGGGUAACGGCCUACCAAGGCGACGAUGCGUAGCCGACCUGAGAGGGUGACCGGCCACACUGGGACUGAGACACGGCCCAGACUCCUACGGGAGGCAGCAGUAGGGAAUUUUCGGCAAAGGGGGAAACCCUGACCGAGCAACGCCGCGUGAAGGAAGAAGUAAUUCGUUAUGUAAACUUCUGUUAUAGAGGAAGAACGGUGGAUAUAGGGAAUGAUAUCCAAGUGACGGUACUCUAUAAGAAAGCCACGGCUAACUACGUG